UUUGUUCCAGCCGCAAUCAUUCACCCAUCUCUCUCUUCUCUGUGUUCUCUCCAUAGAACCAGCUUUCGAUCAUCCAAAAAACAAUCCCUAACGAUUUUUUUGAGGAAGAUGAAGGUUGUUAGCAGAUUUCAAUCUUCCGAUUUUGAUCGACCCAGCCUUCUUCUUCAAUCUAAAGGUUAAUUUUCUUUGAUUCAUUUAAUUGACACUAAUUUUCUGUAUUGUGGUUUCUUUCAAUAGUUGAUUUUGUUUAUUAUCUCAUACAUAUGAUUCUGAUCUCUCUUGAUUGGUAUGCAAAUUGUUCCUUUCAAUAGUUGAUUUUCUCCAGAAACCCCUUUCUCUCAUACCAUCCAUCUGCCACAUACAUUCAAUCCUUCAUUCGUCUUCAAUCAACAUGUUUGUAUACGUUAAUUACCUAUAAUUUUUUUUAUUUUAACUUUCGUUGUUUCGUGGCCUUAUGUCAUCGAUAACGUUUUUUUAGGGAUUAAGAUUUAAUUCAUUCUGUUUUGUUUUGUGUUCAUUUUGAUCAGACUAGGUUGCAAGGUUCAAGGUUUCGAAUCACAGGUUGAAGAGAAGAUUACAAUGACAAGAGCAAGACUGUGUCAAAGAAGGGGAAUUUGUGAAAAGAUCCAUAUCACAACUUGGGUAUAUUAGUUUGUCUUUACAGUCCAACACUUCAUGUUGUUCAUUUGAUAACAUAAGAUAGUUAUAUUCUUUGAUUUUUAUAAACUUUUAAUUGUGGAGUUAAGGUAUGCCAAACAGGCAUGGGAAGAAGUCUACAAUGUGUAUAAACUAGGUAUUUAGAUGGUGGGUCAAAUAAAACAUCGAUUGCGUCAGCCCCGUGCUUUUCUUUUCUAAGUCCUUGAAGAUAAGCUUGGCAUUGAUUGUACGCUUUUGGUGGUAACUUUAAGUCUCCAUUUUCUAUUUUUAAUCAGUCUUAAGAAUUUUAUUUGUUUUGUUUGGUCAUCAGGGUUUGCCUAAUUGAAGGAAAACUGGAAAGGACAGAUUAACACAGGCAUGUUCAUGUUAUAGUGGACAUGAAUCCUAAUGAAUUAGUGGCUGAUAUACUGCGGUAUCCAGAAAUCUUUUAGGCUUUGGAAAGGCUGCUACUUGGGAGCUUCACAGGAUAUGUGGGAAGUAAUAAGGAAAUAAAUGUGUCAUAGAGAGUUGACUUGGUGAAGCAGGAACUAAUUUACAAGAUUCAUUUGAGGUGGGAGUAUCAUUUGAGCAGCAGGUUCAGUGGGAUGAACCAACAUCUAUUAUAAGGCCAGAAAGGAUUUCACCAUGGGAGAUUUAACCUUUUGUAGCACCCGUUGUUCCAGUGAAUUUAGCUCCACCAGUGGCACCCAAAAGUAAAAGGCCUAGACCCCAAAUGGAAAGUUCUAAUGUUGAAUCAUCGUGUUCAACUACAUCGGCUAAGUUCAGCUGUACCAAUGAAGGACAAAGGAGUGAUAGCCUUAACCCUAACCAUAGUUCCCGACAUCUUAAGCAAACAGAAAAUAUUGGUCUUUCUGGUGCGAAGGUGUACAUUUAUUUGAGUGGUAGCAGAUUGGCACAACGAUUUAUAUAUGGAUAUAUAAACUAUGGCAACUUGAGAAAAUAUUUAUGUGGAUUUUUCGACACUAGAGUGGGGUAAAACUUGAUCCAUUGGUCCUGAAUAUUUAGCGUGAAGCCUCAUUUUGUUGUCUACAUUUUACAGGAGGAACAAAAGAGAAACGCAAAUUUAUAAUGAGAUCUCGAAGUCCCUUGGAGUCGACAAGCCAUCCAAUAUUCUAUUUGAAACAGAUGUCAUUCAAGAAGCGGUAGCAACAAAUGGUGCUGUUUGAUAGAGCAUAUGGCCUGAUUGAAGAUCUAGAGAAAUUGGAUUUACUUCCUAUUGCUAACAUGUACAGCGCUAUAAUGGGUUGUUACUUUCGCCUGGUAACUGCGUAAAAUGGAUGGUUCAGUAUGUCAAAACGAGUUCGGGACAAAAUAAGUGAUUUUUAUCCGUAGGUCAACACAGGUCAGAAGGUAUAUGGCGACCCUCAGACACUCAGACGCAAAGCCUAACUUUGGAAAGGCCUGAAACAAAAAUGAUGAUCUACAUGAGCUUCAUUUUGCUAUAAAAGUUUUUUGCACUCUACACCAGUUUCUGUCUCGGUUCAAAGUCAAUUAAAACAUUAAUUAUGGAGCUAUUACACAUAGAAGACUCAGGUACCUGUUCGCUAUGUAUAACCAUUUUAUCCAAUAUUCUUUUUUUUUGUUUAGGAGUCACGGUUUGGCUGACCGGUUUUGAUGGUCGUACCGCAAGUAUAGUUUUAGGUAACAGCAAAGCGAACUGGCCGGGUUGGGUGACGGUUUAACGAUUCAGUUUUGACGGGUUGGCUAUUUAAACUGAUUUUCGUUCUAAGUGAACCUUAAUGUAUUUUGCAACCUAUUUGACCCGUUUGAUUGACCAAUACAUAUACUUUGGGUCGAAUUUGCCCAUACAGAAAGUUUUUGCCACAACAUACAACGGUUUUUAGAACUUUUAACCUAACUUUUCGAUUCCAUAUGAAGAAAAGAAUUGUAGAUUGUGUGAUGAGCCUCGACACCGACAACCUGCAUGUUCUUCACAUGGUUUGACUUUUAAAAUGUUUUGAAGAUAUAGAAAUU